rnacentral:rRNA from 1 species
GUGAGUAGUUCAGAGUUUGAUCCUGGCUCAGGAUGAACGCUAGCGGCAGGCUUAACACAUGCAAGUCGAGGGGCAGCAUGAGACGGAGAUUCGUCAAAGUCUUGAUGGCGACCGGCGCAAGGGUGCGUAACGCGUGAGCAACUUGCCCGUUUCUGGGGCAUAACCGGUGGAAACGCCGACUAAUUCCCCAUAGUAUUGAUUCCAGGCAUCUGUUAUCAAUUAAAGAAUUUCGGAAACGGAUAGGCUCGCGUGACAUUAGCUAGAUGGCGGGGUAACGGCCCACCAUGGCGACGAUGUCUAGGGGUUCUGAGAGGAAGGUCCCCCACACUGGAACUGAGACACGGUCCAG